AUUGAACGCUGGCGGCAUGCCUUACACAUGCCAGUCGAACGGCAGCAUGAUCUAGCUUGCUAGAUUGAUGGCGAGUGGCGGACGGGUGAGUAAUACAUCGGAACGUGCCCUGUAGUGGGGGAUAACUAGUCGAAAGAUUAGCUAAUACCGCAUACGACCUGAGGGUGAAAGUGGGGGACCGCAAGGCCUCAUGCUAUAGGAGCGGCCGAUGUCUGAUUAGGUAGUUGGUGAGGUAAAGGCUCACCAAGGCGACGAUCAGUAGCUGGUCUGAGAGGACGAUCAGCCACACUGGGACUGAGACACGGCCCAGACUCCUACGGGAGGCAGCAGUGGGGAAUUUUGGACAAUGGGCGAAAGCCUGAUCCAGCAAUGCCGCGUGUGUGAAGAAGGCCUUCGGGUUGUAAAGCACUUUUGUCCGGAAAGAAAUGGCUCUGGUUAAUACCUGGGGUCGAUGACGGUACCGGAAGAAUAAGGACCGGCUAACUACGUG
rnacentral:rRNA from 1 species